UCUCUGCAUCUUUCUCUCUCUAUUUUUUCGGCUCGUGUGGAUUUCUUUUUUCUUUCUUCUGUUCCUCCCCACCCCUCUUCCUUUGGUUCUCUGUUCCCAUUCCCGUUUUGUUUUUUUGUUUUUGUUUUUGUUUUUUUCAUUUUCGGUGCUGCCAGGGGCCGCAUGCCUUACCUGGACAUGUAUCAGAUGCUGAGACACAUGUCUCCGCCCCUGGGUCUGGGGAAGAAGUGUCCGGCCAGAGUGGCUUACAAGGUAGACUACCCUUGCCGACCACCGACGUCCAGGCACUGGGUUUUUUUUUCUUCUUCUUCUUCUUUUUUUUUAGUGCUGACCAGAAACACCCGGCCGACUCUCUUUUUCCAACGUUUCUCUUCUUUUUUGUUUUUGAUUCUUUUUUUUCUUUUCUCGAGUAAACUGAUCAUGACCAUCCCUUGAUUCUAAGCAGCACACUGUGUCCGUCCUUUCUGAUGAGUGUCUUCGUGUUUUGAGACUCCAUUAUGGCCAACAUGCCGGGGGGAGGGGGAGGGGAGUGCCCAGGUCCCCUUGCACCUGGUCUCCCAGGUACCAAAUUGGAAACAAACACGCUUCUUCAGGGAGUCAAAACCCAUGCUUCCCACUUCUGCCCACCCAGAGCAGCCCCCAUGCCCAGGCUGGGGCAGGCGCCUUGCAGAGAGGGGCUUUAGCCCCCAAAAGCAGGCGAGGUCCCGGGUCCCCGCCCCUGCCACGCACACCUGAAGCUG
rnacentral:sRNA from 1 species